rnacentral:tRNA from 1 species
AAAUCCGUCGACUUUAGAAAUCGUGAGGGUUCAAGUCCCUCUAUCCCN